rnacentral:rRNA from 1 species
UUACGGCCACAUCGCGUUGAAAGACCGGCUCUCGUGCGAUCACUAAAGUUAAGCAACAUUAAGCCUGACCCUUACCUAGAUGGGUGACCACUUGGGAUUACCAGAUGUUGUAAG